rnacentral:rRNA from 1 species
GAUGAACGCUAGCUACAGGCUUAACACAUGCAAGUCGAGGGGUAACGAGAGGAAAGCUUGCUUUCCUUGUCGACGACUGGCGCACGGGUGAGUAACGCGUAUCCAACCUGCCCCCAACUAGGGAAUAACCUUGCGAAAGUAAGACUAAUACCCUAUAAUUUCCUCAGAUGUCAUCUGACGAGGAAUAAAGAUUUAUCGGUUGUGGAUGGGGAUGCGUCUGAUUAGCUUGUUGGCGGGGUAACGGCCCACCAAGGCAACGAUUAGUAGGGGUUCUGGGAGGAAGGUCCCCCACAUUGGAACUGAGACACGGUCCAAACUCCUACGGGAGGCAGCAGUGAGGAAUAUUGGUCAAUGGGCGGAAGCCUGAACCAGCCAAGUAGCGUGCAGGAGGACGGCCCUAUGGGUUGUAAACUGCUUUUAUACAGGAAUAAAGUUAGCCACGUGUGGUUAUUUGUAGGUACUGUAUGAAUAAGGACCGGCUAAUUCCGUGCCAGCCGCCGCCGUAA